UAGGGAAUCUUGGACAAUGGGCGAAAGCCUGAUCCAGCCAUGCCGCGUGAGUGAUGAAGGCCUUAGGGUUGUAAAGCUCUUUCGCCAGGGAAGAUAAUGACGGUACCUGGAUAAGAAGCCCCGGCUAACUCCGUGCCAGCAGCCGCGGUAAUACGGAGGGGGCUAGCGUUGUUCGGAAUUACUGGGCGUAAAGCGCACGUAGGCGGCUUUUCAAGUUGGGGGUGAAAUCCCCGGGCUUAACCCGGGAACGGCCUCCAAAACUGAAAAGCUCGAUGCCGAGAGAGGUGAGUGGAAUUUCCAGUGUAGGGGUGAAAUUCGUAGAUAUUGGAAAGAACACAAGUGGCGAAGGCGGCUCACUGGCUCGGUACUGACGCUGAGGUGCGACAGCGUGGGGAGCAAAC
rnacentral:rRNA from 1 species